CUGACACAAUACUGUUUUUAUUCCUCUCCUUUCACGCUUCACUAACUGGCCUUAUUUGAGUUAUGAGUCUGUUUAGUAUGUCAUAUAUAAGUCAUAUUAACUCCAGAUGGACUCCUUGACAACCUUAUCAAAAGAACACCUGCACAAUCCUUUUUUCCUUAGAGUGUAUGAACAUACUGCUGUUAUUGAUAUAGAUGUCAGUCAGUUGUUUCCGAACAUCUGGAGUUUCUUAGUUUUAUUACAGUUUAAUUACUAUUAUUGCCACAGACCAAACAAAAGGAUACAGAACAGCAACAUAAAUCGUUGUUGGACUUCACUGCUCGCUGUCAGAUCCUAACAGAACUCCAAAUGAGGGCUUUGUUAAAAGCAGAUGCACAUAAAGGAAUGCCUUUGACAAUAGAAGAACAUAUUGAAAUCAUUCUCAUGGCUUUAUAGGGAAACUGUCACAAAGAUGUGAUGGACUUUAAAAGGAAACACGGUGAGCACAUCAAACAAACGACAAUCCUGCCAAAAUUAACAAAUCCAAAAAGACUGGAAGUGUAGUGGAUCAAGCGAGAAGUGGGCAUCCGUGAAUAUUCACUGACCAAGACACAACCGACGUGGUGCUGGCAAACAUGGUCCCCUAUGUAUGGAGGGAGACUUUUGGGACACACUCAAUAAUUGAUGGAACAACAACAAUUUCCUUUUGCUGGAUUAUCAGAAAUCUAGUUGAAAUUUGGAUGUCUGUAGUAUUUUCAGUUGGAUGGCUUUCACUGACUAGAAAUAAAGGAUGAAAGGAUUGUAAGAAGAAGUAAAUGAAUAAUUCACUCGUGCAGCUUCAAAAGUGAAAUCAGAAAAUAUAUAUUUGAAAGUGCUCUUUCUUAAGAAUUUCUAUUACAAACAAAUACUUGUUAUACAUGUACAAGUACAAUGCAAAUGAAAGCAGAUUUACAUCAACAUACACGCAGAAAAAUAUGAACUCGGUCAAGCAAAGACAUUUCAUGCGUCAUCAGUUAAUCUAUAUCCGUUUCGAAAGCAACAAG
ensembl:lncRNA